rnacentral:lncRNA from 1 species
GUCUUGUCCUCCUAACAAUCUUACUCCUUUCAACUGUUUUCUGUGAUUUUUAUAUAUAUAUAUAUAUGUAGAUAAAUAGAUAGAUAUGAGUUCUUGUUUUUAUGUAUUUUUCUUCUGCACUCUGGAAUAAUCUUCAUGAAGAAUGGUAAUUUGCUCAGCAGCCACUAGCUACACUUGGGGAAAAUGCCAAGCACUCUUAACUACUGUGUUCACUUGGAAAUUACUUCACUGGCACUUGUCUGGGAACACAGAAGAGACACAACCUAAUCGAUCCAUAAAGGUAAAAAUUAGAGUUGUGUUAAUGCAAAAUGUAUUUUUAUGGUAAAAGGAAUUCGAAAUGCAAAACAUUGAAGGUAGAGAGAAAGAAUGAUAU